UAUUACUGGCCAUCGUACUCUUUCUUUUAUAUUUUUAUACUGAUUUUCUAUUGUCUUAUGUUUUUACAAUUCUGUGAUGAAAGAGAACUACAAUAUUAAGCUUUUUUAUUAUCAUCACGUUUCUCUUAAAUAGCUUUUUUCUUGAGUAAGAUUAGAUUAAGUUCAUUCAAAGGUACGACACGACCAUGAGCAAUUAUAUAGUAUAGAUAGUGACUACCGUGAUGUUUUUAGGUAGGUAGAUAUCUAUUCUAUUAAAAUAAGGUGUAUAUAUACAUAUAAUAUUAUUGGACAGCGAUAAAUGUUUAAAAUGAGUGUGCUGAACUGUAGAUGUGUCUACAUGAAAUAUUGAUCUACUAUAAUAUGCUACCUAAGAAGACACGUUUUGGGCUAAGACCUGAUAACAAAGGAACAGUGGCUACUGAAAAUAAAUGGAAUGGAAGGGAGGUAAACGAGCAUGCGGCUCACCUGAUGGUCCCUUUUGGAGUAGCAAAGAGAAGCGGG